GAUGAACGCUAGCGGCAGGCUUAACACAUGCAAGUCGAGGGGUAGAGGAAGCUUGCUUCCUUGAGACCGGCGCACGGUGCGUAACGCGUAUGCAAUCUACCUUAUACAGGGGAUAGCCCAGAGAAAUUUGGAUUAAUACCCCAUAGUAUAAUUGAAUGGCAUCAUUUAAUUAUUAAAGUUCCAACGGUAUAAGAUGAGCAUGCGUCCAUUAGCUAGUUGGUGUGGUAACGGCACACCAAGGCGACGAUGGGUAGGGGUCCUGAGAGGGAGAUCCCCACACUGGUACUGAGACACGGACCAGACUCCUACGGGAGGCAGCAGUGAGGAAUAUUGGUCAAUGGGCGCAAGCCUGAACCAAGCCAAUGCCGCGUGCAGGAUGACGGUCCU
rnacentral:rRNA from 1 species